rnacentral:rRNA from 1 species
UACGUAGGAGGCGAGGCGUUGUCCGGAGUUACUGGGCGUAAAGGGUGCGCAGGCGGCGUUCCGCGUGGCGAGAUGAAAUCUCCUGGCUUACCUGGAGGGUGGUCGCCAGACGGGAGCGCUUGAGGGUCGGAGAGGGCGUGGAAUUCCGGGUGGAGGCGGGUGAAAUGCGUAGAGAUCCGGAGGAACACCGACGGCGUAGGCAGCGCCCUG